UACGUACGAGGCGAGCGUUAUCCGGAAUUACUGGGCGUAAAGCGCGCGAAGGCGGAUGCUUAAGUCGGGCGUGAAAUCUCCCGGCCUAACUGGGAGGGGUCGCUCUAGACUGGGCGUCUUGAGGACAGCAGAGGUGGGUGGAAUUCCUGGUGUAGCAAUGAAAUGCGUAGAUAUCAGGAGGAACACCGAUGGCGAAGGCAGGUCUCUGGGCUGACACUGACGCUCAUGCACGAAAGCGUGGGGAGCAAACAGG
rnacentral:rRNA from 1 species